rnacentral:rRNA from 1 species
UACGUAGGGUGCAAGCGUUGUCCGGAAUUAUUGGGCGUAAAGAGCUCGUAGGCGGUCUGUCGCGUCUGCUGUGAAAACUCAGGGCUUAACCCUGAGCUUGCAGUGGGUACGGGCAGACUAGAGUGCGGUAGGAGAGACUGGAAUUCCUGGUGUAGCGGUGAAAUGCGCAGAUAUCAGGAGGAACACCGAUGGCGAAGGCAGUUCUCUGGGCCGUAACUGACGCUGAGGAGCGAAAGCGUGGGGAGCGAACAGG